rnacentral:lncRNA from 1 species
UGGGGAAGGCAGAGAUUGGAGAGCACCUGUAGAGGCUCUAAUGCUGGCCACGGGCCCUGGUUGUGACAGUGGUGAGACCUGGGUGCUCCCCUGAGUGUAGAAGCUAAGCCUGGCCAGAGAAGCAAGACAAACACACACAUACGCACACACACAGGCACACACACAUGCACAAACACACUGCAUGCAGACGUGUCAGUUCAGGGGGUAGAGGACACUGACUCUGGGCCCUCUUGACCCAAGCAGGCUCCAGUUGUGCUGGGUUGUGUCACCCCACGAUGUCACUGUUGCUGAGCCCCCAUCGCCUCUGUGUUGUGGAGCAGUUAGAGGUACACAGCAGAGUCCGUGAGUGGCUCUGCAUGAAGGACUGUUUUCUACAUGAGAAGCACAUCUCAGCACAGCUGACUCAUCAGACUCAGCAAUUCCAUUCUGAAUCUCCUCUGGACACCCCCAGGACCACCAGGACAACCCCAUCAGGGCCCUGUCACCAGGCCCAGUCUGGCUCCAUGAUAACCAAGACGCAGGUCCAGAGACAAGCGCCCUGCAUGGUGCCUGCAUGUGACUCCCCUUGGUGGGUAGUGACCAGCUCACCAUGGAAGAAGCCAGGGCAGCAUGCGGCCAUCUGCCCUGCAGCCCCAGAUGACUCCUGGGCCUUAAGAAGUCAUUCUUAAAGGGAAAGCUGGUCACUUUGAGGUCCCUGGAAGGAAGGGUGAAUGUGUCAUCCCAACAGCCCUGGCAGCCAGCAGCAUGCCAUACAUCUUCUCACCCGAUCUUUGUGACAGAGGCCACCUUCUGGGGCACAAGUCCCAUACCUAAAGGGUCCUAUCUCAGUCGGCCUCAUCCUGAGCCCUGGGAUGGGAGAGGCACCAUGCACCCCCCUGCAGCAGCCAGGAUUACCACCCAGGGGACUCAUCCUUCUGUGGCCCUGGCCAGACUUAGAAUUUGGCCCAAGACAGGACAAGCUCAGUCAGAGCAGCUUGUCAGUACCCAGAGUCUAUGUAUGCCAGACAUGGCCAAGCUGGCUCAAAGAGCAACCAGCCACCUCUGCAAGGGUGUGCCAGGAGCAGGUGGACCAGCCACCAACCUCAUCCACUCAAGUAAACAGAGAUGGCCAGCUUCUCACACCCUGAGUGACCACCACCUGACAGCUGAUGAAGUGGAGGCCUGAGGAAAAGCAGAUGGCACUGGGGCCCUGCUUCCAGGGCAGAAUAACUGAUUGACCCUGACUGGCAGUGAGUUGGUGACUGGUCCACCUGCUCCUGGCACACCCUUGCAGAGGUGGCUGGUUGCUCUUUGAGCCAGCUUGGCCUUGCCUGGCAUGCACAGGCCUCAGUGCAACAACUGUGCUGCAAAUGGAGUCACAUAGAGGAUAUGAGCAGCAGCCUCAGGAGCAGGCUGUGCACUGCCUUUGGGGCUCCAGCCCAUGCAUCAGGGCUUCUACAGCACUGUGGGCUUCUUGGGUGCCAAGAGGCAGACCACAGACCAUCCUGAGGAGGACUCUGGUAAGAGCUUCCUUGUGUAUGUGGAUGAUGUCCAGGAUGUUGGCCU